rnacentral:rRNA from 1 species
AGAGUUUGAUUCUGGCUCAGGAUGAACGCUGGCGGCGCGCUUAACACAUGCAAGUCGAACGGUUAAAGCACCUCCGGGUGUGCAUAAAGUGGCGAACGGCUGAGUAACACGUGGGCAACCUGCCCCCCGCACCGGGAUAGCCUCGGGAAACCGUGGGUAAUACCGGAUACUCCGCCACCCCCGCAUGGGGGAGGCGGGAAAGCGUACACGGCGGGGGAUGGGCCCGCGGCCUGUUAGCUCGUUGGCGGGGUAACGGCCCACCAAGGCGAUUAUGGGUAGCCGGGUUGAGAGACCGACCGGCCAGAUUGGGACUGAGACACGGCCCAGACUCCUACGGGAGGCAGCAGUGGGGAAUCUUGCACAAUGGGCGAAAGCCUGAUGCAAGCGACGCCGCGUGCGGGAUGAAGGCCCUCGGGUUGUAAACCGCUUUCAGCAGGGACGAGGCGCAAGUGACGGUACCUGCAGAAGAAGCCCCGGCUAACUACGUGCCAGCCGCCGC